GUGCUCACUAAUGCAGCACACAUGAACAAUAAGAAUCAAUAAAGAAAAGAUUAGCACAGGCACAAGGAUGACACAUGACUGUUAAGUGUUUCCACAUUUUCAU